UACGUAGGGUGCGAGCGUUAUUCGGAAUCACUGGGCGUAAAGCGUGCGUAGGCUGUCUCGAAAGUUGGGAGUGAAAUCCCGGGGCUCAACCCCGGAACUGCUCUCAAAACUUCGAGACUCGAAUUCGAGAGAGGAUAGCGGAAUUUCCAGUGUAGUAGUGAAAUACGUAGAUAUUGGAAGGAACACCAGUGGCGUAGGCGGCUAUCUGGCUCGAUAUUGACGCUGAGGCACGAAAGCGUGGGGAUCAAACAGG
rnacentral:rRNA from 1 species